rnacentral:rRNA from 1 species
GUGGGGAAUAUUGGACAAUGGGCGAAAGCCUGAUCCAGCCAUGCCGCGUGUGUGAAGAAGGUCCUCGGAUUGUAAAGCACUUUAAGUUGGGAGGAAGGGCAGUAAGUUAAUACCUUGCUGUUUUGACGUUACCAACAGAAUAAGCACCGGCUAACUUCGUGCCAGCAGCCGCGGUAAUACGAAGGGUGCAAGCGUUAAUCGGAAUUACUGGGCGUAAAGCGCGCGUAGGUGGUUCAGCAAGUUGGAGGUGAAAUCCCCGGGCUCAACCUGGGAACUGCCUCCAAAACUGCAUGACUAGAGUACGGUAGAGGGUAGUGGAAUUUCCUGUGUAGCGGUGAAAUGCGUAGAUAUAGGAAGGAACACCAGUGGCGAAGGCGACUACCUGGACUGAUACUGACACUGAGGUGCGAAAGCGUGGGGAGCAAACAGGAUUAGAAACCCCUGUAGUCC